rnacentral:rRNA from 1 species
GGCGAGCUGAGCGGCAGAGCUCAAAUUUGAAUCUGGCCCCUCCGGGGUCCGAGUUGUAAUUUGCAGAGGAUGCUUCGGGUGCGGCCCCUGUCUAAGUGCCCUGGAACGGGCCGUCAGAGAGGGUGAGAAUCCCGUCUUGGGCAGAGUGCCCGUGCCCGUGUGAAGCUCCUUCGACGAGUCGAGUUGUUUGGGAAUGCAGCUCAAAAUGGGUGGUAAAUUUCAUCUAAAGCUAAAUACCGGCCGGAGACCGAUAGCGCACAAGUAGAGUGAUCGAAAGAUGAAAAGCACUUUGAAAAGAGAGUUAAACAGCACGUGAAAUUGUUGAAAGGGAAGCGCUUGCAACCAGACUGGGCCUCGGGGUUCAGCCAGCAUUCGUGCUGGUGUACUUCCCCGGGGCCGGGCCAGCGUCGGUUUGGGCGGCCGGUCAAAGGCCCCAGGAAUGUAUCGUCCUCCGGGACGUCUUAUAGCCUGGGGUGCAAUGCGGCCAGCCUGGACCGAGGAACGCGCUUCGGCACGGACGCUGGCGUAAUGGUCGCAAACGACCCGUCUUGA